rnacentral:rRNA from 1 species
AUUGAACGCUGGCGGCAUGCCUUACACAUGCAAGUCGAACGGCAGCACGGGAGCAAUCCUGGUGGCGAGUGGCGAACGGGUGAGUAAUAUAUCGGAACGUGCCCAGUCGUGGGGGAUAACGCAGCGAAAGCUGUGCUAAUACCGCAUACGAUCUCUGGAUGAAAGCGGGGGACUCGCAAGGGCCUCGCGCGAUUGGAGCGGCCGAUAUCAGAUUAGCUAGUUGGCGGGGUAAAGGCCCGCCAAGGCGACGAUCUGUAGCUGGUCUGAGAGGACGACCAGCCACACUGGAACUGAGACACGGUCCAGACUCCUACGGGAGGCAGCAGUGGGGAAUUUUGGACAAUGGGCGCAAGCCUGAUCCAGCAAUGCCGCGUGCAGGAUGAAGGCCUUC